CAUCAUUCUUUUCUGUUUUGUGGCUCUUAAAUUUAGUUUUAGAUUCUUAGAAUCUUAGCUUAUAGUCAUUUGUGUUCUUCAAGUACAUCUUGUGUCCAGAUAUGUUUACCCAACAUAAUGGUGCUAAAUUAAUUCUGUCUAUCUUGGAAGGAUGAGAAGGAGGCAUUAUCAAACUUCUGCUACACCUAUUCAACGUAUGCUGAAUCAAUCUUCACCAGAAUUAAG